AAUUUACCUAGAUCCUGGCUUAACCUGCUGUCCAGUAAAACUGCUAUUCCACCAGAAACUCCAUCAGGUCUACGAUCUACACAUCAUUUGAACAUCACUAGUAUCUACCAUGUUCAACUAAUCACAAUGCUCUGUGUGCCGCGUUUGAAAAUCUUACAUUUCCCAGAGACACGUUAACCAUCAUUAUUGAGAACCCAGUCUCAGGAAAAUAUCGACCAAUGAUGAUCACAGAGGAUAAAGUGUUUGUAAAACCUUCCUAUGUUUCUACUGAGCAGAAAAUUCUCAACUUUGGGCCAUCAUGUUGAUGAGACUAUGUCACUGUGGCUUCUGAAAUGACUAGGAGAAACAACUGACAGCACACAUCCUGACUCUCUGGCUUUUACAAUCUGUCUGUCACCUCUUCUGCAAUAUCCCCUAUGCAGUAGUGGUGGACAAGAACUUGUAACCUGGAUCAGCAAGGUGGAAUUGCACAUUGCCAGAUGCAGAGUGACCAUCAACCAUUCCAAUUUUUGUGAUCUUGUGAUCUGCUCCAACAGAAAGAACAGAUUUCCAGAGUCCUUAGGUAUGAGGGGCUGUGAAGACCGGAGGUUCUGUCUGCUAAAUAAUUAAGGUGUGUUACAGCGGCCCAUCAUUUAAGCCCAGGGUGAACAACUCUGAUGUGUAACCCUAAUUUGGCUAUUAUCUGCUAAUGAAGUCAUGUUUUGUCAUGCUGCAUCAGUAUUUAUACUCUUCUUAAUGUGUUGUCUUCCCUUUUUCCCCACAGGUUAUAUUCUUUAAUAAAGAUUUCUUGCUCAAAAUCAUCUCAGCAUCUACUUCUGGAAAAUCCAACAAUCAAUACUACCAUUUUCACAGACUGAGUUGUAAAGGUUCCCCAUAUUCCCACUGGGCUGUAACUGAACAUAUUUCCCUGGGUACCAUUGCCUCACUGAUAAUCCAUGAAAACAGCUUUCAAAAGCAGAACAGAAAAGCACACAGUACAAACGCUAAAAAUUUAAUGCAACAAAUGGCACAAGAGAUGUGUUUAUUUACAACAGCUACCUUCUAUUUACACUUUAUCCAACUCCUCUUUCCAAAUUUAUACAUUGGCUCUCAAUAAGCUAUUUUGCUUCAAGAACUGCUACGGGCAUUUGGGGAUUAAAAUGUUGCUUGCCAGAUGUAUUUCCUCAUUUACACUGGGUACCAAAAAAAAAAAAAAAAAAUCACAGGUCUUAACAUCACUACUUAGAGGAUUCUACCUGUGGAAAACUCCUAUAUGAUAAAGCCUCAAUGGCAUGCUAUUUUUCUUUAGGGGGUUAAAAAAAAAAAAAGAUGUGAUUUUUUUUUCAUCUUUCUUUUUCUUUCUGGGCCAGAGAGGGGAAUAAAGUCCAAAAGGACCACUAUUUUAGCAAAAACAAUGCUUCUUGUAUGAAAAUGUCUUAGGGGUUUUGAGCAUGACACUAAUCUGGAUUCCACAGAUUUGAUUUUGUGGAAUCUCCUUCAGGAAAGUACAUUUGUGUUCUGGAUUUAAUGCGUAUUUUUCUGCUAAAGUAUACAGAAUAUAGAGGACUCUGUAUAUAGUUACAAUAUUUUCUUCCAGAAAGCAUUUGACGCACAUUAUAAGCCUUAAUGCCCACACCUGCACCCUACAUAGUCCCUCAUUCUGGACACCUGAUGCUUUGGGUCAUCUAGGGUGUAUUUGAAAUUGUUUCAGACUUCUAUCUUGAAAUUACUGCUACGAUUUUCCUUACAUACAACUACUUUUCUAUAUAUUCUAUAAAUAGCACCAUGUAAAACUCUUCAGUGAUUAAUUUAAAUUUUAAGUAUAUAUGGUAGAUACUAAAUGUUCAAAGUAAAACUGUUCCACAAUCCCUAGUUACUGAUCUGGUCUAGUAGCAUUUAGUCAUUGCUUAAAAAUAUUUUGUUAUUUUCUUUGCAAAUGUCUGCUCAUGUUUCAAGGCAAAUGAUUAAACCUUUUUAAAUGUUCCCAUUGUACCAGAAAAUAAAAUAAGCAAAUCCCUCUGAGCUUAAUUACCUUAGAGAAGAUUGCACAGGUGAUAUGAAGAAGGUCUUUCAAGCAUUCUGUGGUAUUUUUCCUUUUUUUGUUUUUUGUUUAU